rnacentral:rRNA from 1 species
ACGGAAUAGAUACCCUGGUAGUCCACGCUGUAAACGUUGGGCGCUAGGUGUGGGCGACAUCCACGUUGUCCGUGCCGUAGCUAAACGCAUUAAGCGCCCCGCCUGGGGAGUACGGCCGCAAGGCUAAAAACUCAAAGGAAUUGACGGGGGCCCGCACAAGCGGCGGAGCAUGUGGAUUAAUUCGAUGCAACGCGAAGAACCUUACCUGGGUUUGACAUGUACUAGAUCGCUCCAGAGAUGGGGUUUCCCUUGUGGUUAGUGCACAGGUGGUGCAUGGCUGUCGUCAGCUCGUGUCGUGAGAUGUUGGGUUAAGUCCCGCAACGAGCGCAACCCUAUCCUACGUUGCCAGCAAGUAAAGUUGGGACUCGUGGGAGACCGCCGGGGUCAACUCGGAGGAAGGUGGGGAUGACGUCAAGUCAUCAUGCCCCUUAUGUCCAGGGCUUCACACAUGCUACAAUGGCUGGUACAGA